UUAAGCGACUAAGCGUACACGGUGGAUGCCCUGGCAGUCAGAGGCGAUGAAGGACGUGCUAAUCUGCGAUAAGCGUCGGUGAGGUGAUAUGAACCGUUAUAACCGGCGAUUUCCGAAUGGGGAAACCCAGUGUGUUUCGACACACUAUCAUUAACUGAAUCCAUAGGUUAAUGAGGCGAACCGGGGGAACUGAAACAUCUAAGUACCCCGAGGAAAAGAAAUCAACCGAGAUUCCCCCAGUAGCGGCGAGCGAACGGGGAGGAGCCCAGAGCCUGAAUCAGUGUGUGUGUUAGUGGAAGCGUCUGGAAAGGCGCGCGAUACAGGGUGACAGCCCCGUACACAAAAAUGCACAUACUGUGAGCUCGAUGAGUAGGGCGGGACACGUGGUAUCCUGUCUGAAUAUGGGGGGACCAUCCUCCAAGGCUAAAUACUCCUGACUGACCGAUAGUGAACCAGUACCGUGAGGGAAAGGCGAAAAGAACCCCGGCGAGGGGAGUGAAAAAGAACCUGAAACCGUGUACGUACAAGCAGUGGGAGCCUCUUAAUGGGGUGACUGCGUACCUUUUGUAUAAUGGGUCAGCGACUUAUAUUCUGUAGCAAGGUUAACCGAAUAGGGGAGCCGAAGGGAAACCGAGUCUUAACUGGGCGUUAAGUUGCAGGGUAUAGACCCGAAACCCGGUGAUCUAGCCAUGGGCAGGUUGAAGGUUGGGUAACACUAACUGGAGGACCGAACCGACUAAUGUUGAAAAAUUAGCGGAUGACUUGUGGCUGGGGGUGAAAGGCCAAUCAAACCGGGAGAUAGCUGGUUCUCCCCGAAAGCUAUUUAGGUAGCGCCUCGUGAAUUCAUCUCCGGGGGUAGAGCACUGUUUCGGCAAGGGGGUCAUCCCGACUUACCAACCCGAUGCAAACUGCGAAUACCGGAGAAUGUUAUCACGGGAGACACACGGCGGGUGCUAACGUCCGUCGUGAAGAGGGAAACAACCCAGACCGCCAGCUAAGGUCCCAAAGUCAUGGUUAAGUGGGAAACGAUGUGGGAAGGCCCAGACAGCCAGGAUGUUGGCUUAGAAGCAGCCAUCAUUUAAAGAAAGCGUAAUAGCUCACUGGUCGAGUCGGCCUGCGCGGAAGAUGUAACGGGGCUAAACCAUGCACCGAAGCUGCGGCAGCGACACUAUGUGUUGUUGGGUAGGGGAGCGUUCUGUAAGCCUGUGAAGGUGUGCUGUGAGGCAUGCUGGAGGUAUCAGAAGUGCGAAUGCUGACAUAAGUAACGAUAAAGCGGGUGAAAAGCCCGCUCGCCGGAAGACCAAGGGUUCCUGUCCAACGUUAAUCGGGGCAGGGUGAGUCGACCCCUAAGGCGAGGCCGAAAGGCGUAGUCGAUGGGAAACAGGUUAAUAUUCCUGUACUUGGUGUUACUGCGAAGGGGGGACGGAGAAGGCUAUGUUGGCCGGGCGACGGUUGUCCCGGUUUAAGCGUGUAGGCUGGUUUUCCAGGCAAAUCCGGAAAACCAAGGCUGAGACGUGAUGACGAGGCACUACGGUGCUGAAGCGACAAAUGCCCUGCUUCCAGGAAAAGCCUCUAAGCAUCAGGUAACAUUAAAUCGUACCCCAAACCGACACAGGUGGUCAGGUAGAGAAUACCAAGGCGCUUGAGAGAACUCGGGUGAAGGAACUAGGCAAAAUGGUGCCGUAACUUCGGGAGAAGGCACGCUGAUAUGUAGGUGAAGCGACUUGCUCGUGGAGCUGAAAUCAGUCGAAGAUACCAGCUGGCUGCAACUGUUUAUUAAAAACACAGCACUGUGCAAACACGAAAGUGGACGUAUACGGUGUGACGCCUGCCCGGUGCCGGAAGGUUAAUUGAUGGGGUUAGCGGUAACGCGAAGCUCUUGAUCGAAGCCCCGGUAAACGGCGGCCGUAACUAUAACGGUCCUAAGGUAGCGAAAUUCCUUGUCGGGUAAGUUCCGACCUGCACGAAUGGCGUAAUGAUGGCCAGGCUGUCUCCACCCGAGACUCAGUGAAAUUGAACUCGCUGUGAAGAUGCAGUGUACCCGCGGCAAGACGGAAAGACCCCGUGAACCUUUACUAUAGCUUGACACUGAACAUUGAGCCUUGAUGUGUAGGAUAGGUGGGAGGCUUUGAAGUGUGGACGCCAGUCUGCAUGGAGCCGACCUUGAAAUACCACCCUUUAAUGUUUGAUGUUCUAACGUUGGCCCGUAAUCCGGGUUGCGGACAGUGUCUGGUGGGUAGUUUGACUGGGGCGGUCUCCUCCUAAAGAGUAACGGAGGAGCACGAAGGUUGGCUAAUCCUGGUCGGACAUCAGGAGGUUAGUGCAAUGGCAUAAGCCAGCUUGACUGCGAGCGUGACGGCGCGAGCAGGUGCGAAAGCAGGUCAUAGUGAUCCGGUGGUUCUGAAUGGAAGGGCCAUCGCUCAACGGAUAAAAGGUACUCCGGGGAUAACAGGCUGAUACCGCCCAAGAGUUCAUAUCGACGGCGGUGUUUGGCACCUCGAUGUCGGCUCAUCACAUCCUGGGGCUGAAGUAGGUCCCAAGGGUAUGGCUGUUCGCCAUUUAAAGUGGUACGCGAGCUGGGUUUAGAACGUCGUGAGACAGUUCGGUCCCUAUCUGCCGUGGGCGCUGGAGAACUGAGGGGGGCUGCUCCUAGUACGAGAGGACCGGAGUGGACGCAUCACUGGUGUUCGGGUUGUCAUGCCAAUGGCACUGCCCGGUAGCUAAAUGCGGAAGAGAUAAGUGCUGAAAGCAUCUAAGCACGAAACUUGCCCCGAGAUGAGUUCUCCCUGACUCCUUGAGGGUCCUGAAGGAACGUUGAAGACGACGACGUUGAUAGGCCGGGUGUGUAAGCGCAGCGAUGCGUUGAGCUAACCGGUACUAAUGAACCGUGAGGCUUAACCUU
rnacentral:rRNA from 1 species